GAGCUUUCCAAGAGUCCAUUCUGUAGAGUAGAGAUAGAAAAGAGGUAUUUAUGGGGGGGGGCAUAAACCUCACCAACGGGGCAACAUCAUGACAGUGGUUACUUCUAAGCUUCAAGAUCUAGUUUUGAAAACAUCUCAUGACGUUUCUGGGAUCUUAGAUCUUUUUUGUAAAAGCUAUGAUCGAAUUUUGCGCAAUUUUUAUUGGCCUCGUUUAAAGACAUUUCCGCUUACAUCAAAACAUUCCAUGUUCGUCAGCUGACUGGGAGGCCUAAUCAGAUGUUAAGACCAGUCCCGCUACAACCUAUUACUGUUACAGGCCAGCCAUUUGAGCAUUUGCUUUUUGAUUGUGUUGGACCUUUACCCCGUUCUAAAGCGGGUAGCACCUACAUAUUAUCUGUGAUGUGUCAGGCUACGAGAUCCUGCAGCCGAUCCACUUCGCAACAUUACCACUAAGUCUGUUUGUGAAGGCUUUGUCACAGUGCAUCUACAUUUUAAGAAUACCUAAGGUGAUUCAGAGCGAUCAGGGUUCCAACUUCACUUUGCACAUAUUUGCGCAAGUCUUGCGGCAAUUGCAUAUAAAACCUAAUCAGGCCAGUGAUUAUCAUGCGCACAGUCCAGGGGCCCUUGAGCAUUUUCAUCAGACUUUUGAAGUUGAAGUUUGUCUUCUGAAUUGGCUAAAUCAGAACUAAAUCAAACUGACGUAGUUAGUACUGUUCUUUUGGUGGAAUCCGUUGAUCUGAGAUCAGCCGCUCCAACUUCACAUACAGUGGCAGAAUGAUGAAGAGGGGGUGCCGGGCCCUGAUGAUAAUUUGCAGGGUAGGUUGAUGAAUUCAGAGUCCCUUGGAGAGUUUGUUGGAUUGUCAAGUUAACUGAUUUGAUCACUGAUUUUCAGUCUUUGUUUGCUGACACACCUUCUCGUACACAUUUGGCAGUGCACAAUAUUGAUGUUGGGGAUGCUGUCCCUAUUAAACGCUUGUAUCGUGUCUCAUUGGAGAAGCUACUUCACUUGGACUCAGAGAUGAAGUACAUGCUAGUUAAUGAUAUCGGUGUACCAUCAUUCUCCAGUUGGGCCUCUCUGUGUCUCUUGGUGAGCAAGCCACAUGGUUCUCUUAGGUUUUGCACUGACUACCGGAAGGCUAAUAGUGUGACAACCUGCCUGUUACUCACUCCCACGGAUGGAAGAUUGUGUUGACCAGGUUGGUACUGCCCGGUUUGUCAGCCAGUUUGAUUUACUGAAGGGUUACUGGCAGGUGCCAAUUGUUAACAAGAGAUAGUGAAAUAUGUGCUUUUAUUCAUCCUUUCAGGUCUUUUCUCCUAUACGGUCAGGAGUUUAGGCCUUCGCAACGCUCCUGCUACGUUUCAGCGUCUUAUGGAUAGGGUGAUCUCUGGCCUUGAAGGCUGUGCUGUUUAUCUAGAUGUGGUUGUUUAUUGUGACACUUGGGAGCGACAUCGUUUGCCCGAGGCCUGUCUCACUGUGAACUUAGCCAAAUGUGAGUUUGUCCAGGCAAGUGACCUACCUCGGCAGAGUGGUCGAGCAAGGUCUUGUUCUUCCGGUGCUAAAGUUAUUUAUUAUUAUUAUCGAUCUGUUUCCACCUCCCACCACCAAGAAGGAGCUACAAGGCUUCCUGGUUAUAGUUGGGUAUUAUCGGGGGUUUUGCUGCAACUUCUCCACGGUUGUAGCACCUCUGACUAAUCUGUAGAAGAAGAGGGCAUCUGGUCUUCCUGCUGUCAGAGCGCUUUUGAAAAUGUGAAACUGCUUCUUAGCUCUGACCCUGUGUUGGCUGCCCCACGAUUGGAACAGCCUUUCAGCCUACAUGUGGAUGCCAGUAAUGUGGGGGCAGGUGGUGUGUUGCUUCAAGCAGAUGGAGGUGUUGAACAUCCUGUUAGCUAUUUCUCCCAAAAGUUUAACAGCUAUCAGUUGAAUUAUUCAGUGGGGGAGAAAGAGGCCCUUGCCUUAAGGUACAGUAUAUGUGGGGUCAGGUGUGGUCCCUAUUGUGGUUUACAUUGACCACAACCCCCUUACUUUCCUGCACAGCAUGCUUUGCCCAAAUGGCAGGAUUAUACGCUAGUGUUUGUUCCUGCAGGCGUUUGGAUGUAAAAGGUGUGGAUAAUGUGGUUCGUUCCAUUUGGAUGUACGACCUGUAAAAGGUGUGGAUAAUGUGGUUCGUUCCAUUUGGAUGUACGACCUGUAAAAGGUGUGGAUAAUGUGGUUGCUGUUGUGCUUUCCUGUGCACCGAUUUAGUCGUUCUUCAGACUCCUUUGUUGCGUUGGUUUCUUUUCGGUUGGUGGUCUGUACAGGGUUUAUUUUGUCCUUCCUGUCGCUCUGGCUUCUGCUGCUCUCCUGUUGCUCGGUCUCCAUUUCUUUCUCUUAAAUUAUUGCUUCCAGGUACCGUGGUUGCUGAGGUUGGAUGGGGUCAGGUGAUUUGGUUGGGUUGGUAUCAUGGGCAUCCGGUGGGCCUCUUACCUUUAUGGUUUGUAUAGUAUUUUGUGUCUGGACCUUUAUUAGUUAUGAUUUUGGAUCAGUUGUAUUUGUGUGGUUGUGGAUUUUGUUUUCGGGUCCUUGUUAGUCCACGAUUUUUAUGGGAGGGGGUGUUACACCUCCCUGCCACCUCCUGUGUUUGUGCUUCUAUUUGCAGAUUGGGGAUAGGUGGAGCUGAUUUGGGUCGUUAAGGUGACAAGUUGCACCUGGGUUUGGGAUCAACUAGGAGAUAAAAGGUCCUGGUGCCCAGUCCCCUCUCUCUGUCUGUCUGUCUGUCUCUGUCUGUCUGUCUGUCUGUCUGUCUGUCUGUCUGUCUGUCUCCACAAGCUGGUGGAUUAUAUUUUUUGAUUAGGUGAACACCCUUCAACACUUACACACAUUUUAACUUCAUCCAUACAUCUCUAUUACACCCUUCACAAGCCUACUGUCACACUUCACAGGUUAGUUUUCCUUUGGUUAGUUAUUUAAUAAAUAUUUGUGUUACUCUUUAA